rnacentral:rRNA from 1 species
AGUGAACGCUGGCGGUAGGCCUAACACAUGCAAGUCGAACGGCAGCACAGUAAGAGCCUGCUCUUACGGGUGGCGAGUGGCGGACGGGUGAGGAAUACAUCGGAAUCUACUUUUUCGUGGGGGAUAACGUAGGGAAACUUACGCUAAUACCGCAUACGUCCUACGGGUGAAAGCAGGGGAUCUUCGUACCUUGCGCGAUUGAAUGAGCCGAUGUCGGAUUAGCUAGUUGGCGGGGUAAAGGCCCACCAAGGCGACGAUCCGUAGCUGGUCUGAGAGGAUGAUCAGCCACACUGGAACUGAGACACGGUCCAGACUCCUACGGGAGGCAGCAGUGGGGAAUAUUGGACAAUGGGCGCAAGCCUGAUCCAGCCAUACCGCGUGGGUGAAGAAGGCCUUCGGGUUGUAAAGCCCUUUUGUUGGGAAAGAAAAGCAGCAGGUUAAUACCCCGCUGUUCUGACGGUACCCAAAGAAUAAGCACCGGCUAACUUCGUG